rnacentral:rRNA from 1 species
AGUGAAGCGGGAUGAGCUCAAAUUUAAAAUCUGGCUGGUUUACUAGUCCGAAUUGUAGUUUAAAGAAGCGUUUUCGGUGGCAGCCUGGGUAUAAAUCCUUUGGAAUAGGGUAUCAUAGAGGGUGAGAAUCCCGUCUUUGACUCAGUGAAUGCUACUAUGUGAUACGUUUUCAAAGAGUCGAGUUGUUUGGGAAUGCAGCUCAAAAUGGGUGGUAAAUUUCAUCUAAAGCUAAAUAUUGGCGAGAGACCGAUAGCGAACAAGUACCGUGAGGGAAAGAUGAAAAGAACUUUGAAAAGAGAGUUAAACAGUACGUGAAAUUGUUGAAAGGGAAACGUUUGACACCAGUCAUGCGGGUGGAAAAUCAGUCUUUUAGAGUAGGGAGUGGUGGGGGUUCGGACCGCAAGGCUGGCCUUUAUCUCAUCUCUGCGCUAAUGGAUGCACUUUUUCAUUUGCAGGUCAACAUCAGUUUCUUCUGCUGGACAAAACUCCGAGAGAAGGUAGCAGCUUUGGCUGUGUUAUAGCUCUGGAGCGAUACAGUGGAGGGGACUGAGGUUUUCGCAGUGUGUGCUCUCGGGCAAGGUUGAUUAGGUGCUAUGUGAUCGUUCGGUGUACAAUGCAUGCAUUUUGCGCUGUGUCUUUUGCAUACUCGCCUGACUCGACUCUUCCACGCUUAGGAUGUUGACUUAAUGGUUUUAAACGACCCGUCUUGAAACACGGACCAAGGAGUCUAACAUAUAUGCAAGUGUUUGGGUGGCAAACCCAUACGCGUAAUGAAAGUGAACGUAGGUGCGAUCCGCAAGGUGCAGCAUCGACCGAUCUUGAUAUUUUUGGAUAGAUUUGAGUAAGAGCAUAUAUGCUGGGACCCGAAAGAUGGUGAACUAUGCCUGAAUAGGGUGAAGCCAGAGGAAACUCUGGUGGAGGCUCGUAGCGAUUCUGACGUGCAAAUCGAUCGUCAAAUUUGGGUAUAGGGGCGAAAGACUA